rnacentral:rRNA from 1 species
AGAAUUUGAUCAUGGCUCCGAAUGAACGGCGGCGGAAUGCUUUACACAUUCAAGUUGAACGGCAGCCCGGACUUUGGUUUGGUGGCGAGUUGCGAACGGGUGAGUAAUAUAUCGGAACGUGGCCCGUCGUGGGGGAUAACGUAGUGAAAAUUACGCUAAUACCGCAUACUAUUUAUGGAAGAAAGCGGGGGAUUGCAAGACCUCGUGCGAUUGGAAUGGCCGAUAUUUGAUUAGGUAGGUGGUGAGGGAAAGGGUCACCCAACCAACGAUCCGUAAGUGGUUUGAGAGGGCGGCCCCCCACCCUGGAACUGAGGCACGGUCCCGACUCCUACGGGGGACCGCAGUGGGGAAUUUUUGGCAAAGGACGCAAGUUUGAUCCAGCCCUUUCGGGUGCAGGACGAAGGCCUUCGGGUUGUUAAAUGGUUUUGUACCGAACGAAAAAGUUUUUUUUUAUCCUGGGGGGUCAUGACGGUACCGGAAGAAUAAGCCCCGGCUAACUACGUG